rnacentral:rRNA from 1 species
UACGGAGGGUGCGAGCGUUGUCCGGAAUCACUGGGCGUAAAGGGCGCGUAGGCGGCGCGGAUAGUCGGCGGUGAAAGCCCGGAGCUCAACUCCGGGUCGGCCGUCGAUACUUCCGGGCUUGAGCACUGUAGAGGCAGAUGGAAUUCCGGGUGUAGCGGUGGAAUGCGUAGAGAUCCGGAGGAACACCGGUGGCGAAGGCGGGUCUCUGGGCCGAUACUGACGCUGAGGAGCGAAAGCGUGGGGAGCGAACAGG